rnacentral:rRNA from 1 species
GGAAUAUUGGUCAAUGGACGCAAGACUGAACCAGCCAUGCCGCGUGAAGGAUGAAGGCCUUCUGGGUUGUAAACUUCUUUUAUUGGGGAAGAAAAUUACGGUUUUGCCUGUAACCGACGGUACCCAAGGAAUAAGCACCGGCUAACUCCGUGCCAGACGCCGCGGUCAUACGGAGGGUGCAAGCGUUAUCCGGAUUUACUGGGUUUAAAGGGUGUGUAGGCGUGCUGUUAAGUCAGUGGUGAAAUCUCCGGGCUCAAACCGGAAACUGCCAUUGAUACUAAUGGUCUUGAAUAUCGUUGAGGUAGGCGGAAUAUGUCAUGUAGCGGUGAAAUGCAUAGAGAUGACAUAGAACACCAAUUGCGAAGGCAGCUUACUAAGCGAUGAUUGACGCUGAGGCACGAAAGCGUGGGGAUCAAAC